rnacentral:rRNA from 1 species
UACGGGGGGGGCAAGCGUUGUUCGGAAUUACUGGGCGUAAAGGGCUCGUAGGUGGCCAACUAAGUCAGACGUGAAAUCCCUCGGCUUAACCGGGGAACUGCGUCUGAUACUGGAUGGCUUGAGUUUGGGAGAGGGACGCGGAAUUCCAGGUGUAGCGGUGAAAUGCGUAGAGAUCAUGAGGAAGACCAGUGGCGAAGGCGGGUCUCUGGACAGUUCCUGACACUGAGGCACGAAGGCCAGGGGAGCAAACGGG